rnacentral:misc_RNA from 1 species
GCAAACUUGGUCAUUUAGAGGAAGUAAAAGUCGUAACAAGGUUUCCGUAGGUGAACCUGCGGAAGGAUCAUUAAAGAUUCGGCCCUCGGGCCAACCUCUUCAGCUGUGCGCCUCGGCUGCACGCUGUCGAACUUCACACACCUGUGCACAUUUCGGUCGUGACCCUCGCGGGUCGCUUCCGCUUUUCACAUCAAACUACCAGUCCAGAAUGUAACAUACCAUAAAAGUAACAACUUUCAACAACGGAUCUCUUGGCUCUCGCAUCGAUGAAGAACGCAGC